rnacentral:rRNA from 1 species
AGAGUUUGAUCCUGGCUCAGAUUGAACGCUGGCGGCAUGCUUUACACAUGCAAGUCGAACGGUAACAGGCCGCAAGGUGCUGACGAGUGGCGAACGGGUGAGUAAUGUAUCGGAACGUGCCCAGUCGUGGGGGAUAACGCAGCGAAAGCUGCGCUAAUACCGCAUACGAUCUAUGGAUGAAAGCGGGGGACCGUAAGGCCUCGCGCGAUUGGAGCGGCCGAUAUCAGAUUAGGUAGUUGGUGGGGUAAAGGCUCACCAAGCCAACGAUCUGUAGCUGGUCUGAGAGGACGACCAGCCACACUGGGACUGAGACACGGCCCACACUCCUACGGGAGGCAGCAGUGGGGAAUUUUGGACAAUGGGCGCAAGCCUGAUCCAGCAAUGCCGCGUGCAGGAAGAAGGCCUUCGGGUUGUAAACUGCUUUUGUACGGAACGAAACGGUCCUGGUUAAUACCUGGGGCUAAUGACGGUACCGUAAGAAUAAGCACCGGCUAACUACGUGCCAGCAGCCGCGGUAAUACGUAGGGUGCAAGCGUUAAUCGGAAUUACUGGGCGUAAAGCGUGCGCAGGCGGUUUUGUAAGACAGGCGUGAAAUCCCCGGGCUUAACCUGGGAAUGGCGCUUGUGACUGCA